rnacentral:rRNA from 1 species
AACGAACGCUGGCGGCAUGCCUAACACAUGCAAGUCGAACGAGACCUUCGGGUCUAGUGGCGCACGGGUGCGUAACGCGUGGGAACCUGCCAUUAGGUUCGGAAUAACUCCCCGAAAGGGGUGCUAAUACCGGAAAUGUCUUCGGACCAAAGAUUUAUCGCCUUUGGAUGGGCCCGCGUUGGAUUAGCUAGUUGGUAGGGUAAAAGCCUACCAAGGCGACGAUCCAUAGCUGGUCUGAGAGGAUGAUCAGCCACACUGGGACUGAGACACGGCCCCGACUCCGACGGGAGGCAGUAGUGGGUAAUAGUGGACGAGGGGCGAAAGCAUGAUCCAGCAAUGCGGCGUGGGUGAUGAAGGCCGUAGGGUUGUAAAGCUCUUUUACCCGGGAUGAUAAUGACAGUACCGGGAGAAUAAGCGCCGGCUAACUACGUG